GACGAACGCUGGCGGCGUGCUUAACACAUGCAGGUCGUACGGUAAGGCCCUUUCGGGGGUACACGAGUGGCGCACGGGUGAGUAACACGUGAGUAACCUGCCCACAACUUUGGGAUAACGCUAGGAAACUGGUGCUAAUACUGGAUAUGUGCUCCUGCUGCAUGGUGGGGGUUGGAAAGCUCCGGCGGUUGUGGAUGGACUCGCGGCCUAUCAGCUUGUUGGUGGGGUAGUGGCCUACCAAGGCGGCGACGGGUACCCGGCCUGAGAGGGUGACCGGCCACAUUGGGACUGAGAUACGGCCCAGACGCCUACGGGAGGCAGCAGUGGGGAAUAUUGCACAAGGGGCGCAAGCCUGAUGCAGCAACGCCGCGUGCGGGAGGACGGCCUUCGGGUUGUAAACCGCUUUCAGCAGGGACGAAGCUUUUUGUGACGGUACCUGCAGAAGAAGCACCGGCUAACUACGUG
rnacentral:rRNA from 1 species